AACGAACGCUGGCGGCAUGCCUAACACAUGCAAGUCGAACGAGACCUUCGGGUAUAGUGGCGCACGGGUGCGUAACGCGUGGGAACCUGCCCUUAGGUUCGGAAUAACUCCCCGAAAGGGGUGCUAAUACCGGAUAAUGUCUUCGGACCAAAGAUUUAUCGCCUUUGGAUGGGCCCGCGUUGGAUUAGCUAGUUGGUAGGGUAAAAGCCUACCAAGGCGACGAUCCAUAGCUGGUCUAAGAGGAUGAUCAGCCACACUGGGACUGAGACACGGCCCAGACUCCUACGGGAGGCAGCAGUGGGGAAUAUUGGACAAUGGGCGAAAGCCUGAUCCAGCAAUGCCGCGUGAGUGAUGAAGGCCUUAGGGUUGUAAAGCUCUUUUACCCGGGAUGAUAAUGACAGUACCGGGAGAAUAAGCUCCGGCUAACUCCGUG
rnacentral:rRNA from 1 species